rnacentral:piRNA from 1 species
UAAAGAGGCUGGGAGUAUGUGGACACCC